GACGAACGCUGGCGGCGUGCCUAAUACAUGCCAGUCGAACGCCCAGUCUAUACCGUAGCUUGCUACACCAUAGACUGUGAGUUGCGAACGGGUGAGUAACGCGUAGGUAACCUGCCUGGUAGCGGGGGAUAACUAUUGGAAACGAUAGCUAAUACCGCAUAAUAUUAAUUAUUGCAUGAUAAUUAAUUGAAAGGUGCAAUUGCACCACUAACAGCUGGACCUGCGUUGUAUUAGCUAGUAGGUGAGGUAACGGCUCACCUAGGCGACGAUACAGAGCCGGCCUGGGAGGGUGGUCGGGCACCCUGGGACUGAGACACGGCCCAGACUCCUACGGGGGGCAGCAGUAGGGAAUCUUCGGCAAUGGACGAAAGUCUGAACGAGCAACGCCGCGGGAGUGAAGAAGGGUUUCGGAGCGGAAAGCUCUGUUGGAAGGGAAGAAAGGGUGUGAGAGUGGAAAGUUCACACUGUGACGGUAUCUUACCAGAAAGCGACGGCUAACUACGUG
rnacentral:rRNA from 1 species